GCCGGGCGCGGUGACUCACGCCUGUAAUCCCAGCACUUUGGGAGGCCGAGACGGGUGGAUCACAAGGUCAGGAGAUCGAGACCAUCCUGGCUAACGUGGUGAAACCCUGUCUCUACUAAAAAUACAAAAAAUUAGUCGGGCNNNNNNNNNNGCCCGACUAAUUUUUUGUAUUUUUAGUAGAGAAGGGGUUUCACCAUGUUGGCCAGGCUGGUCUUGAACCCCUAACCUCAAGUGAUCCACCCACCUCGGC
rnacentral:SRP_RNA from 1 species